CUGGCUCCAUCUCACCAUUGUACCACUCCAGCCUGGGCAACAGAGUAAGACUUUGUCUGUUUAAAAAAUUGUUUUUGCCCCAAACAGCUCUUUGUUUUAACACAGUUGAAAUACUGAGCUGGUGUCUGACCACAGUAAUUGAUCGCAGCAUCUCUUAAUGCUUGAGACUUUCCCUGAAAUGUGCUGGUAAUAGCAGCCUAGAGGAAGGUGGUUAUAUUUGAUAAGUAGAGGGAGGAGGGCAUAUAUGUGAUUCAUCUAAAAGUUGCAUCCGUUUAUUUAGGUGCAAGUUUGAAAAAGAAGUCCCAGCCCCAGCCCGGUUUUACUUCACAUGCAUGGAGAGAUUCUGUGAUUUUUGCAUUCUCCAGUAGAAUUGGGACAUUGGUGCCUUUAUUUUCUUGACAUUUAUUACUAAAAGCUUUUCUCAAGACUGUAAAAGUGAUUAAAAUGGUUAUGUAGCUUUAAAAAGAAUCUUUUUUACUCACCUCACUUAAGACAUUGUUUCCUCUUCUUCCUCUGCAGGUCUUGCUUCUGACCGUCCAAGGGCAAGCACACUCUUCCUGAGAAAGUAUCAAAUGAGUGUGCAAGAAAAGAGGAGAAGCUUUCGCAUAUAUUCUAUACCUCCAUGGCAUCUUGAUAGAAAAUACAGCUCAUGUUCCACCAUAUUCCUGGAUAACAGCACAGUUAGCAAGCCUGAUCUCAGCCAAAUAUUAGGAUGGUGAGUACAACGAGGUUGCCAAGGGCUGAGUGACAGACCCCCGUAAGCUAAAAGCAUCCCGGCCAUCCGCUGUUAGUUCAGCCAUUUGGUUGCCCUUUUCAGCAGGCAGUUGGAGAAUUUGAUAUCAAUGAUAAAUGGCUUUUUCGGGACCUAAGUAUGAAUUUGCUGUAUCUCUAUUUAUCUUAGACACUGUGUGGUAAAAGGGAAAGCCAGUUAGCAAAUAAGCAAUCCCAGAAAAAGCAUAGUUAUUUAUUUGAUGCAUUUAUGUUAUGGCAGUAUUGAACCUAAUGGGCAGGAGAAGUGCUU
rnacentral:lncRNA from 1 species